GAGUUUGAUCAUGGCUCAGAUUGAACGCUGGCGGCAGGCCUAACACAUGCAAGUCGAACGGUAACAGGAAACAGCUUGCUGUUUCGCUGACGAGUGGCGGACGGGUGAGUAAUGUCUGGGAAACUGCCUGAUGGAGGGGGAUAACUACUGGAAACGGUAGCUAAUACCGCAUAACGUCGCAAGACCAAAGAGGGGGACCCUCGGGCCUCUUGCCAUCGGAUGUGCCCAGAUGGGAUUGGCUUGUUGGUGGGGUAACGGCUCACCAAGGCGACGAUCCCUAGCUGGUCUGAGAGGAUGACCAGCCACACUGGAACUGAGACACGGUCCAGACUCCUACGGGAGGCAGCAGUGGGGAAUAUUGCACAAUGGGCGCAAGCCUGAUGCAGCCAUGCCGCGUGUAUGAAGAAGGCCUUCGGGUUGUAAAGUACUUUCAGCGGGGAGGAAGGGAGUAAAGUUAAUACCUUUGCUCAUUGACGUUACCCGCAGAAGAAGCACCGCUAACUCCGUGCCAGCAGCCGCGGUAAUACGGAGGGUGCAAGCGUUAAUCGGAAUUACUGGGCGUAAAGCGCACGCAGGCGGUUUGUUAAGUCAGAUGUGAAAUCCCCGGGCUCAACCUGGGAACUGCAUCUGAUACUGGCAAGCUUGAGUCUCGUAGAGGGGGGUAGAAUUCCAGGUGUAGCGGUGAAAUGCGUAGAGAUCUGGAGGAAUACCGGUGGCGAAGGCGGCCCCCUGGACGAAGACUGACGCUCAGGUGCGAAAGCGUGGGGAGCAAACAGGAUUAGAUACCCUGGUAGUCCACGCCGUAAACGAUGUCGACUUGGAGGUUGUGCCCUUGAGGCGUGGCUUCCGGAGCUAACGCGUUAAGUCGACCGCCUGGGGAGUACGGCCGCAAGGUUAAAACUCAAAUGAAUUGACGGGGGCCCGCACAAGCGGUGGAGCAUGUGGUUUAAUUCGAUGCAACGCGAAGAACCUUACCUGGUCUUGACAUCCACGGAAGUUUUCAGAGAUGAGAAUGCGCCUUCGGGAACCGUGAGACAGGUGCUGCAUGGCUGUCGUCAGCUCGUGUUGUGAAAUGUUGGGUUAAGUCCCGCAACGAGCGCAACCCUUAUCCUUUGUUGCCAGCGGUCCGGCCGGGAACUCAAAGGAGACUGCCAGUGAUAAACUGGAGGAAGGUGGGGAUGACGUCAAGUCAUCAUGGCCCUUACGACCAGGGCUACACACGUGCUACAAUGGCGCAUACAAAGAGAAGCGACCUCGCGAGAGCAAGCGGACCUCAUAAAGUGCGUCGUAGUCCGGAUUGGAGUCUGCAACUCGACUCCAUGAAGUCGGAAUCGCUAGUAAUCGUGGAUCAGAAUGCCACGGUGAAUACGUUCCCGGGCCUUGUACACACCGCCCGCCACACCAUGGGAGUGGGUUGCAAAAGAAGUAGGUAGCUUAACCUUCGGGAGGGCGCUUACCACUUUGUGAUUCAUGACUGGGGUGAAGUCGUAACAAGGUA
rnacentral:rRNA from 1 species